rnacentral:lncRNA from 1 species
GGGGACACUUUCUGGAGCAACUUCCUGAAUAGGUGAGAGGGAUGCAAGGGCUACUGCAAGUGGAGAGGUUGACCUCACUAGGCAUGUGGGCAGAACAUGCAGAGAACAGAAACUAACAUAUCAUGUAGUAACAGAAGAAAAGUGAAGAUGCACGUUGAUGGGUAGAUGUGGUUUCAGGAGUUUGGAGAAGCUCUCUUUGGAUUCCUUCAAUUCUGCCAGUUUAAAUGGGAAACAAGGUGACCGUGGUGAGGAGGUGUUGUAAGUUUGAUGAGAGAGGAGAGACAGUGAAAUGAUUGUUUAGGAGAAUAAGAGAGUGACUACUGCAAGUGAAGAGGUUGACUAAAGCAGAGAAAUAAAGCAUGGUAGCUGACGGCAUUAAGGUGAGACCAGUCAUGGUAUGGAGGGCCAUUGUCCAGCCAUGUUCCAGUCAGGGUGUGGAGGGCCAUUGUCCAGCAUUCUCCAGUCAGGGUGUGGAGGGCCAUUGUCCAGCCAUGUUCCAGUCAGGGUGUG